AUUGAACGCUGGCGGCAUGCCUUACACAUGCAAGUCGAACGGCAGCACGGGAGCAAUCCUGGUGGCGAGUGGCGAACGGGUGAGUAAAGUAUCGGAACGUGCCCAGUCGUGGGGGAUAACGUAGCGAAAGUUACGCUAAUACCGCAUACGAUCUAUGGAUGAAAGCGGGGGAUCGCAAGACCUCGCGCGAUUGGAGCGGCCGAUAUCAGAUUAGGUAGUCGGUGGGGUAAAGGCUCACCAAGCCGACGAUCUGUAGCUGGUCUGAGAGGACGACCAGCCACACUGGGACUGAGACACGGCCCAGCCUCCUACGGGAGGCAGCAUUGGGGAAUUUUGGACAAUGGGCGAAAGCCUGAUCCAGCCAUGCCGCGUGCAGGAUGAAGGCCUUCGGGUUGUAAACUGCUUUUGUACGGAACGAAAAGGUUUGGCCUAAUAAGCUGAGCUCAUGACGGUACCGUAAGAAUAAGCACCGGCUAACUACGUGCCAGCAGCCGCCGUAA
rnacentral:rRNA from 1 species